rnacentral:rRNA from 1 species
UACGGAGGAUCCGAGCGUUAUCCGGAUUUAUUGGGUUUAAAGGGUGCGCAGGCGGGAGAUUAAGUCGGCGGUGAAAUCUUGCAGCUCAACUGUAAAAGUGCCUUCGAAACUGGUUUCCUUGAGUGUAGAUGAAGUAGGCGGAAUUUGUGGUGUAGCGGUGAAAUGCAUAGAUAUCACGAGGAACUCCGAUUGCGCAGGCAGCUUACUGGGAUGCAACUGACGCUGAGGCACGAAAGCGUGGGUAUCAAACAGGAUUAGA